AGCUUCGGUUGGAUUGAGAGUGGCGCACGGGUGCGUAACGCGUAUGCGACCUACCUUGUACAGGGGGAUAGCCCGGAGAAAUUCGGAUUAAUAUCCCAUGGUAUCCUUUAGUGGCAUCACUUUAAGGAUUAAAGAUUUAUCGGUACAAGAUGGGCAUGCAUGACAUUAGUUAGUUGGUAGGGUAACGGCCUACCAAGACGAUGAUGUCUAGGGGUUCUGAGAGGAUGAUCCCCCACACUGGUACUGAGAUACGGACCAGACUCCUACGGGAGGCAGCAGUAGGGAAUAUUGGUCAAUGGGCGAGAGCCUGAACCAGCCAUGCCGCGUGCAGGAAGACGGCUUUCUGAGUUGUAAACUGCUUUUGUACGGGAAGAAAAAGGCCAUGCGUGGCAAAUUGCCGGUACCGUACGAAUAAGCACCGGCUAACUCCGUGCCAGCAGCCGCGGUAAUACGGAGGGUGCAAGCGUUGUCCGGAUUUAUUGGGUUUAAAGGGUGCGUAGGCGGAUCUUUAAGUCAGUGGUGAAAUCCUGCAGCUUAACUGUAGAACUGCCAUCGAAACUGGAGGUCUUGAGUAUACUAGAGGUAGGCGGAAUUUAUGGUGUAGCGGUGAAAUGCAUAGAUACCAUAAAGAACACCAAUAGCGUAGGCAGCUUACUGGAGUAUAACUGACGCUGAGGCACGAAAGCAUGGGUAGCGAACA
rnacentral:rRNA from 1 species